CAGGCUCCUGUCUCCAUGAUGGACAUGAAUAAGCUAUCUCAAUAGCUGACAGGAAAUGCCGUGACGAAGCCAAGUGCCUUCUGGAUUGAUCUGGGGAGAGCUGAUAGGACAAGACUGACACUUCCCUCUGUGUCUCGGACCCCACAGCUUUCUUGCAGGGAACCAUGAAAGACCUAGCCAGGAACCCUAAGAGGGUCGAGGAAAACUCUUUCCUUCCGUACAACAGUGCAGGUGGUGGAACUCCACAAACACUUUGUCCUGCUGCCCUGCAGAGCUGCCCGUCCCGCAAGCCAGCUUCAGCCUCAAGGAGCUCACCGCACAUCCUGGUUUAACUAGGGUGGAGGGA
rnacentral:lncRNA from 1 species